GGAACUUUUACUUUUAAAGAGAGAGCAAUGCUCAACUCAGAUAAGUGAAUCUGUAGUGUGGACUUUGGGCCAGCAAUGGCUACCAGUGGGUGGGAUUUGGGGCCUGGAUGACAAGACAUGGAAGCCACCCAAUUGUCCAUUGAUGGAUGAAUGGAUAAAGAAGACAUGGUACAUAUACACAAUGGAAUACUACUUAGCCAUAAAAAAGAAUGAAACAAUGCCAUUUGCAGCAGCAUGGAUGCAACUAGAGAUUCUCAUUUCUGAGAAGUAAGUAUGAUGGAAAUACUUAUUGAAGUAUGAUGGAAAGAUAAAUAUCCUAUGA
rnacentral:lncRNA from 1 species